GAGUUUGAUCCUGGCUCAGGAUGAACGCUAGCGACAGGCCUAACACAUGCAAGUCGAGGGGCAGCACAAGGUAGCAAUACUGAGGUGGCGACCGGCGCACGGGUGAGUAACGCGUAUGCAACCUGCCUGUAAGAGCGGGAUAGCCUCUCGAAAGAGAGAUUAAUACCGCAUGGAACCAAGAGGUCUCAUGGUUUUUUGGUUAAAGAUUUAUCGCUUACAGAUGGGCAUGCGUAACAUUAGCUUGUUGGUGAGGUAACGGCUCACCAAGGCUGUGAUGUUUAGGGGUUCUGAGAGGAAGGUCCCCCACACUGGUACUGAGACACGGACCAGACUCCUACGGGAGGCAGCAGUGAGGAAUAUUGGUCAAUGGACGCAAGUCUGAACCAGCCAAGUCGCGUGAAGGAUGAAGGUCUUAUGGAUUGUAAACUUCUUUUAUACGGGAAUAAAAAGGGUUACGUGUAGCCCAUUGCAUGUACCGUAUGAAUAAGGAUCGGCUAACUCCGUGCCAGCAGCCGCGGUAAUACGGAGGAUCCGAGCGUUAUCCGGAUUUAUUGGGUUUAAAGGGUGCGCAGGCGGUCUUUUAAGUCAGCGUUGAAAGUUUUCGGCUCAACCGGAAAAUUGGCAUUGAAACUGGAGGACUUGAGUGCAAAUGAAGUAGGCGGAAUUCGUCGUGUAGCGGUGAAAUGCAUAGAUAUGACGAAGAACUCCGAUUGCGAAGGCAGCUUACUAACAUGCAACUGACGCUCAGGCACGAAAGCGUGGGGAUCAAACAGGAUUAGAUACCCUGGUAGUCCACGCAGUAAACGAUGAAUACUAACUGUUGGCGAUACACAGUCAGCGGUACAGCGAAAGCGUUAAGUAUUCCACCUGGGGAGUACGCCGGCAACGGUGAAACUCAAAGGAAUUGACGGGGGCCCGCACAAGCGGUGGAGCAUGUGGUUUAAUUCGAUGAUACGCGAGGAACCUUACCAGGGCUUAAAUGUAAGUUGCAUAAAUCAGAGAUGAUUUUUUCUUCGGACCACUUACAAGGUGCUGCAUGGUUGUCGUCAGCUCGUGCCGUGAGGUGUCAGGUUAAGUCCUAUAACGAGCGCAACCCCUGUCGUUAGUUGCCAGCGAGUCAUGUCGGGAACUCUAACGAGACUGCCGGUGCAAACCGAGAGGAAGGUGGGGAUGACGUCAAAUCAUCACGGCCCUUACGUCCUGGGCCACACACGUGCUACAAUGGCCGGUACAGAGAGCAGCCACUACGCGAGUAGGAGCGAAUCUAUAAAACCGGUCUCAGUUCGGAUCGCAGUCUGCAACUCGACUGCGUGAAGCUGGAAUCGCUAGUAAUCGGAUAUCAGCCAUGAUCCGGUGAAUACGUUCCCGGGCCUUGUACACACCGCCCGUCAAGCCAUGGAAGCUGGGAGUACCUGAAGUCGGUGACCGCAAGGAGCUGCCUAGGGUAAAACUAGUGACUGGGGCUAAGUCGUAACAAGGUAACCGUA
rnacentral:rRNA from 1 species